AACAGUGUGGCAUAGUGGUUUGACUGUUGGACUACAACUCUGGAGACCAGGGUUUGAAUCCCUGCUCAGCCA
rnacentral:tRNA from 1 species